AUUUGGUCGUAGACCCGAAACCAGGUGAUCUACCCUUGGUCAGGUUGAAGUUCAGGUAACACUGAAUGGAGGACCGAACCGACUUACGUUGAAAAGUGAGCGGAUGAACUGAGGGUAGCGGAGAAAUUCCAAUCGAACCUGGAGAUAGCUGGUUCUCUCCGAAAUAGCUUUAGGGCUAGCCUCAAGUGAUGAUUAUUGGAGGUAGAGCACUGUUUGGACGAGGGGCCCCUCUCGGGUUACCGAAUUCAGACAAACUCCGAAUGCCAAUUAAUUUAACUUGGGAGUCAGAACAUGGGUGAUAAGGUCCGUGUUCGAAAGGGAAACAGCCCAGACCACCAGCUAAGGUCCCAAAAUAUAUGUUAAGUGGAAAAGGAUGUGGCGUUGCCCAGACAACUAGGAUGUUGGCUUAGAAGCAGCCAUCAUUUAAAGAGUGCGUAAUAGCUCACUAGUCGAGUGACACUGCGCCGAAAAUGUACCGGGGCUAAACAUAUUACCGAAGCUGUGGAUUGUCCUUUGGACAAUGGUAGGAGAGCGUUCUAAGGGCGUUGAAGCAUGAUCGUAAGGACAUGUGGAGCGCUUAGAAGUGAGAAUGCCGGUGUGAGUAGCGAAAGACGGGUGAGAAUCCCGUCCACCGAUUGACUAAGGUUUCCAGAGGAAGGCUCGUCCGCUCUGGGUUAGUCGGGUCCUAAGCUGAGGACGACAGGCGUAGGCGAUGGAUAACAGGUUGAUAUUCCUGUACCACCUAUAAUCGUUUUAAUCGAUGGGGGGACGCAGUAGGAUAGGCGAAGCGUGCGAUUGGAUUGCACGUCUAAGCAGUAAGGCUGAGUAUUAGGCAAAUCCGGUACUCGUUAAGGCUGAGCUGUGAUGGGGAGAAGACAUUGUGUCUUCGAGUCGUUGAUUUCACACUGCCGAGAAAAGCCUCUAGAUAGAAAAUAGGUGCCCGUACCGCAAACCGACACAGGUAGUCAAGAUGAGAAUUCUAAGGUGAGCGAGCGAACUCUCGUUAAGGAACUCGGCAAAAUGACCCCGUAACUUCGGGAGAAGGGGUGCUCUUUAGGGUUAACGCCCAGAAGAGCCGCAGUGAAUAGGCCCAAGCGACUGUUUAUCAAAAACACAGGUCUCUGCUAAACCGUAAGGUGAUGUAUAGGGGCUGACGCCUGCCCGGUGCUGGAAGGUUAAGAGGAGUGGUUAGCUUCUGCGAAGCUACGAAUCGAAGCCCCAGUAAACGGCGGCCGUAACUAUAACGGUCCUAAGGUAGCGAAAUUCCUUGUCGGGUAAGUUCCGACCCGCACGAAAGGCGUAACGAUUUGGGCACUGUCUCAACGAGAGACUCGGUGAAAUCAUAGUACCUGUGAAGAUGCAGGUUACCCGCGACAGGACGGAAAGACCCCGUGGAGCUUUACUGUAGCCUGAUAUUGAAAUUCGGCACAGCUUGUACAGGAUAGGUAGGAGCCUUUGAAACGUGAGCGCUAGCUUACGUGGAGGCGCUGGUGGGAUACUACCCUAGCUGUGUUGGCUUUCUAACCCGCACCACUUAUCGUGGUGGGAGACAGUGUCAGGCGGGCAGUUUGACUGGGGCGGUCGCCUCCUAAAAGGUAACGGAGGCGCUCAAAGGUUCCCUCAGAAUGGUUGGAAAUCAUUCAUAGAGUGUAAAGGCAUAAGGGAGCUUGACUGCGAGACCUACAAGUCGAGCAGGGUCGAAAGACGGACUUAGUGAUCCGGUGGUUCCGCAUGGAAGGGCCAUCGCUCAACGGAUAAAAGCUACCCCGGGGAUAACAGGCUUAUCUCCCCCAAGAGUUCACAUCGACGGGGAGGUUUGGCACCUCGAUGUCGGCUCAUCGCAUCCUGGGGCUGUAGUCGGUCCCAAGGGUUGGGCUGUUCGCCCAUUAAAGCGGUACGCGAGCUGGGUUCAGAACGUCGUGAGACAGUUCGGUCCCUAUCCGUCGUGGGCGUAGGAAAUUUGAGAGGAGCUGUCCUUAGUACGAGAGGACCGGGAUGGACAUACCUCUGGUGUACCAGUUGUCGUGCCAAC
rnacentral:rRNA from 1 species